UACGAAGGGGGCUAGCGUUGCUCGGAAUUACUGGGCGUAAAGCGCGCGCAGGCGGCUCUUUAAGUCUCGUGGUCAAAUGCCGGGGCUCAACCCCGAGCGUGCCGGGGAUACUGGAGGGCUGGAGACAGGUAGAGGCAAGCGGAAUUCCGGGUGUAGCGGUGGAAUGCGUAGAGAUCCGGAAGAACACCGGAGGCGAAGGCGGCUUGCUGGACCUGGUCUGACGCUGAGGCGCGAAAGCGUGGGGAGCGAACAGG
rnacentral:rRNA from 1 species